rnacentral:rRNA from 1 species
CACGUAGGGUGCGAGCGUUGUCCGGAAUUAUUGGGCGUAAAGAGCUCGUAGGCGGUCUGUCGCGUCGAAUGUGAAAACCCGGGGCUUAACCCCGGGUCGGCAGUGGAUACGGGCAGGCUAGAGUUCGGUAGGGGCAGAGGGAAUUUCCGGUGGAGCGGUGAAAUGCGUAGAGAUCGGAAAGAACACCAACGGCGAAAGCACUCUGCUGGGCCGACACUGACACUGAGAGACGAAAGCUAGGGGAGCGAAUGGG